rnacentral:misc_RNA from 1 species
UCUCCGUUGGUGAACCUGCGGAAGGAUCAUUCACAAUAGGCGUUUUAUAGCACUUUUUCAAUCCAUAUCCACCUUGUGUGCAAUGUCGUUUUGUAGUGCGAAUGCUUGUCAUUUGCGCUACAGGAUGUUUACAUCCACUCUUAUCUUUAACAACUUUAUCUAAAACCUGUAUAAAUACUUAAUUCAAAUACAACUUUCAACAACGGAUCUCUUGGCUCUC